GAUGAACGCUGGCGGCGUGCCUAAUACAUGCAAGUCGAGCGAACGGACGAGGCGCUUGCUUCUCUGAUGUUAGCGGCGGACGUGUGAGUAACACGUGGAUAACCUACCUAUAAGACUGAGAUAACUUCGGGACACCGGAGCUAAUAGCGGAUAAUAUUUUGAACCGCAUGGGUCAAAAGUGAAAGACGGUGUUGCUGUCACUUCUAGAUGGAUCUGCGCUGCAUUAGCUAGUUGGUAAGGUAACGGCUUACCAAGGCAACGAGGCAUAGCCGACCUGAGAGGGUGAUCGGCCACACUGGAGCUGGGACACGGUCCAGACUCCUACGGGAGGCAGCAGUAGGGAAUCUGCCGCAAUGGGCGAAAGCCUGACGGAGCAACGCCGCGUGAGUGAUGAAGGUCUUCGGAUCGUAAAACUCUGUUAUUAGGGAAGAACAUAUGUGUAAGUAACUGUGCACAUCGUGACGGUACCUAAUCAGAAAGCCACGGCUAACUACGUG
rnacentral:rRNA from 1 species